GAUGAACGCUGGCGGCGUGCCUAAUACAUGCAAGUCGAGCGAACAGACGAGGAGCUUGCUCCUCUGACGUUAGCGGCGGACGGGUGAGUAACACGUGGAUAACCUACCUAUAAGACUGGGAUAACUUCGGGAAACCGGAGCUAAUACCGGAUAAUAUAUUGAACGGCAUGGUUCAAUAGUGAAAGACGGUUUUGCUGUCACUUAUAGAUGGAUCCGCGCCGCAUUAGCUAGUUGGUAAGGUAACGGCUUACCAAGGCAACGAUGCGUAGCCGACCUGAGAGGGUGAUCGGCCACACUGGAACUGAGACACGGUCCAGACUCCUACGGGAGGCAGCAGUAGGGAAUCUUCCGCAAUGGGCGAAAGCUUGACGGAGCAACGCCGCGUGAGUGAUGAAGGUCUUCGGAUCGUAAAACUCUGUUAUUAGGGAAGAACAAAUGUGUAAGUAACUAUGCACGUCUUGACGGUACCUAAUCAGAAAGCCACGGCUAACUACGUG
rnacentral:rRNA from 1 species